GAUGAACGCUGGCGGUAUGCUUAACACAUGCAAGUCGAACGGACUCUUCGGAGUUAGUGGCGGACGGGUGAGUAACGCGUGAGAAUCUGGCUUUGGGUUCGGGACAACCACUGGAAACUGUGGCUAAUACCGGAUGUGCCGAGAGGUAAAAGAGAAAUUGCCUGAAGAUGAGCUCGCGUGUGAUUAGCUAGUUUGUGAGGUAAAGGCUCACCAAGGCAGCGAUCAGUAGCUGGUGUGAGAGGAUGAGCAGCCACACUGGGACUGAGACACGGCCCAGACUGCUACGGGAGGCAGCAGUGGGGAAUUUUCCGAAAUGGGCGAAAGUCUGACGGAGCAAUACCGCGUGAGGGAAGAAGGCUCUUGGGUUGUAAACCUUUUUUCUUUGCGAAGAACAAAAUGACGGUACCUAAGGAAUCAGCAUCGGCUAACUACGUG
rnacentral:rRNA from 1 species